rnacentral:misc_RNA from 1 species
UCCGGUUUAACACCGGCGGUCUCCCUAGAGUCCCCGACAUGACUCGCUGGCAACUAGGAACAAGGGUUUCGCUCGUUAAGGGACUUAACCCGACAUCUCACGACACGAGCUGACGACAGCCAUGCAGCACCUGUGCACGUUCCACCCCGAAAGGUGUGGCCCUACUUUCAUAGGGUUAAUCCGUGCAUGUCAAGACUAGGAUAAGGUUCUUCGCGUAGCCUCGAAUUAAGCCACAUCCUCCACCGCUUGUGUGAGCCCCCGUCAAUUCCUUUGAGUUUCAGCCUUGCGGCCAUACUCCCCAGGCGGAGCACUUAACACUUUCGCUACGACCAAAAAGGCAUGGGAACCUCUUCGAUCAAGUGCUCAUCGUUUACAGCUAGGACUAC